AUGGAUUCCCAAAUAUUUUAUGCUGUCUACAGUUAUUUUGAAUGGAAUUCCUCUUUGUAUCUCUUGCUGUUGGAUUUUGUUGGUGAUGUAUAAAAAUGCUGAGGAUUUAUGGGGAUUUAUUUUUGUAUCCUGCAACUUUGCUAAAGUUAUAAAUUUUUUCUCAUAGCUUUUUAGUAGAAUCUCUGGGCUUCUCUAACUAUAUCAUCACAUCAUCUGCAAAGAGUGAUAGUUUGGUUUCCUCAUUGCCCACUCUAAUUCCUUUAAUCUCUUAGCCAUUGUGGUGGGUGUGAAAAGGGAUCUCAAAAGACAAGACCAAGGGUCUCCUUACUAACACAGAGCUAAUUUUCAGAGGGUGCACUGGCAGCCUUCAUCUGCACAGCAGGGGGUCCUCCUCCCAAGACAGCUCCAGGACAUGGUCUCCCUCAGACAAAUUCAUUGGAAAACUUGGGAAACAUUCAAUGGAACAGAUGAUGCAGUGACGGCCUUCAGCUGCACAGCAGGGGGUCCUCCAUACUAAGCCACUUCUCAUCUAUAAUUUGAGGGUCCAGAGCAUCAAAGCUCAAAAUUUUCCCUUUAUGCACCUGCAUAGGUCUCCCUCAGUACACAUGGAUUGGAAAACCUAGAAAACCUGGAUAACCUGGGAAAGCAUCAAUAGAACAGAUCAUUAAAAGGGAUUGCCAAAUAUUUUAUGCUGUCGACAGUUAUUUUGAAUGGAAUUUCUCUUGCAUCUCUUGCUGUUGGAUUUUGUUGGUGAUGUAUAAACAUGCUGAGGAUUUAUGGGGUUUUAUUUUAUAUCCUGCAACUUUUCUAACUUUAUGAAUUAUUUCUAAUAGCUUUUUGGUAGAAUCUCUGGGGCUCUCUAAGUAUACCAUCACAUCAUCUGCAAAGAGUGAUAGUUUGGUUUCCUCACUGCCUACUCUAAUUCCUUUAAUCUCUUAGCCAUUUUGGUGGGGAUGAAAAGGGAUCUCAAAAGACAAAACCAGGGGUCUCAUGACUAACACGGGGCUAAUUUUCAAAGGGUGCACUGACAGCCUUCAUCUACACAGCAGGGGGUCCUCCUCCAAAGACAGCUCCAGGACAUGGUGAGUGAUUUCUGUGUAGCCCUAAAAGCCCUCCCUAAAGCACCAGCUCUCAAGGCCAGCAAGGGGAAACUCUUAGAGAAAUAAUAGGGCUUCUCCCUAGGGAACCUGGAUUGGGAAAGGGAGAGUUGCAGAGAAAAACUUUCUGCACUCUAGGGUUUCUUCCAUCAUAUACCAAUUCUCAUCAAUAUUGUGGAGGUCUAGAGAUCCCAGCUGGAAAUUCUCCACAAAUGCCUGUAUAGAUCUGCCUCAGAAAAUGUCAAUUACAAAUAUGAGGAAAUCAUCUGUAGAACAGCAGGGUUUCCUCCUAUAAGCAAAGCUCCAGAACAUGGACAAACAUAGAGAGUCCUCCCUAAAGCAACAGCUCUCAUCCAUCGUGGGCAGAGACACUUAGCAAAAUAACAGAAUUCCU
rnacentral:lncRNA from 1 species